GUGUCAGCCGCCGCGGUAAUACGUAGGUGGCAAGCGUUAUCCGGAAUUAUUGGGCGUAAAGCGCGCGUAGGCGGUUUUUUAAGUCUGAUGUGAAAGCCCACGGCUCAACCGUGGAGGGUCAUUGGAAACUGGAAAACUUGAGUGCAGAAGAGGAAAGUGGAAUUCCAUGUGUAGCGGUGAAAUGCGCAGAGAUGUGGAGGAACACCAGUGGCGAAGGCGACUCUCUGGUCUGUAACUGACGCUGAGGAGCGAAAGCGUGGGGAGCGAACAGGAUUAGAAACCCCUGUAGUCC
rnacentral:rRNA from 1 species